GUGCCUAAUACAUGCAAGUAGAACGCUGAAGACUUUAGCUUGCUAAAGUUGGAAGAGUUGCGAACGGGUGAGUAACGCGUAGGUAACCUGCCUACUAGCGGGGGAUAACUAUUGGAAACGAUAGCUAAUACCGCAUAACAGCAUUUAACACAUGUUAGAUGCUUGAAAGGAGCAAUUGCUUCACUAGUAGAUGGACCUGCGUUGUAUUAGCUAGUUGGUGAGGUAACGGCUCACCAAGGCGACGAUACAUAGCCGACCUGAGAGGGUGAUCGGCCACACUGGGACUGAGACACGGCCCAGACUCCUACGGGAGGCAGCAGUAGGGAAUCUUCGGCAAUGGGGGCAACCCUGACCGAGCAACGCCGCGUGAGUGAAGAAGGUUUUCGGAUCGUAAAGCUCUGUUGUAAGAGAAGAACGUGUGUGAGAGUGGAAAGUUCACACAGUGACGGUAACUUACCAGAAAGGGACGGCUAACUACGUGCCAGCAGCCGCGGUAAUACGUANGUCCCCGAGCGUUGUCCGGAUUUAUUGGGCGUAAAGCGAGCGCAGGCGGUUUAAUAAGUNUGAAGUAAAAGGCAGUGG
rnacentral:rRNA from 1 species